rnacentral:rRNA from 1 species
GGGGAAAAAUUAAUAAUUUUAUAAAUAAUAAAAAUAGUUUUAAUAUUAAUAAGGGGGUUUUAGUAUUAAUAAAAAAAAAAUUAUAAAAUUUAUAGUAAAUUAGUAUUGUAGAAGAAAUUUUAAAUAUAUGAAAAUUAAUUUAGUUAAAAGUAAAUUUAAUUUAUUGUAUCUUGUGUAUCAGAGUUUAUUAAAAAUAAUUUUAGUGAAAAUAUUUCUCGAAUUUAAAAGAGAUAAUUAAUUAUAAAAGUUAUUGUUGCAUAAAUAUUUUAAAUAAUUAAUUUGAAAUGAAAUGUUAAUCGUUUUUAAAGAUAUCUAGUUUUUUUAGAAAAAAAUUUAAUUUUUUUUUUUUUUUAUAAAAAAUUAAUUAAUUAAUUUUUUAUAAAAAAAAAAAUAUAUUUUAAGGGAUAAGCUUUAAAUUAAAUUUUUAUAAUUAUUGAAAAUAUUUAAAUUAAAAUUUUUAAGAUUUAUAUUGUUUAUAAUUUUUAAUUUAUUAUAAAUUAAUUUUAAUUAAAUUAAAAUUUAAUAAUAAUUUAAUUUUUUAUAAAAAAAUAUUUUUUAAUAAAAUAGGAGUAAUUAUAAUGAUAAAAUUAGUAUUUACAUUAAAAAAAUAUAAAUAAAUAUAGAAAAUAAAAUUUAAGGAAUUCGGCAAAUAUUUAUAUUCACUUGUUUAUCAAAAACAUGUCUUUUUGAUUAAUAAUUUAAAGUUUAAUCUGCCCCCUGAUAAUAUAUUAAAGGGCUGCAGUAUAUUGACUGUACAAAGGUAGCAUAAUCAAUAGUCUCUUAAUUGGUGACUUGUAUGAAAGAUUGGAUGAAAUAUAAACUGUCUCAAUUUUAAAAAAAUAAUUUAAUUUUUUGAUUAAAAAGUCAAAAUAAUUUUAAAAGACGAGAAGACCCUAUAGAGUUUAAUAAAUUUAUAAUUAUAAUUAUUUAUAUAAAUAAUAAUAAAAAUUAAAAAAUUUAUUUUGUUGGGGUGAUAAAAAAAUAUAAAAAACUUUUUUUAAAAUUUAACAUAAAUAAUUGAAUAAAUGAUCCAAAAUUAUUUUGAUUAAAAGAAAAAAUUACCUUAGGGAUAACAGCGUAAUUUUUUUUUUUAGUUCAUAUAAAAAAAAAAGUUUGCGACCUCGAUGUUGGAUUAAAAUAAAAUUUAUAUGCAAAAGUAUAAAAUUUUGAUCUGUUCAAUCAUUAAAAUCUUACAUGAUCUGAGUUCAAACCGGGGUGAGCCAGGUUGGUUUCUAUCUUUAAAAAAAUAAAAUAUUUUAGUACAAAAGGAAUAAAUAUUUAAAUUAAAUUUAAUUGAAAAAAUUUCAUUAAUUAAAAUAUAAAUGGACUAUUUUGGCAGAAAAGUGUAAUGGUUUUAGAAAUCAUAAAUA